rnacentral:tRNA from 1 species
GGGGAUGUAGUUAACAAUAACAUUUAAUUUGCAAUUAAAAAGAACUAUUAAUAGUCUUCCUCA